GAUGAACGCUGGUGGCGUGCCUAAUACAUGCAAGUCGAGCGAAUGGAUUAAGAGCUUGCUCUUAUGAAGUCAGCGGCGGACGGGUGAGUAACACGUGGGUAACCUGCCCAUAAGACUGGGGUAACUCCGGGAAACCGGGGCUAAUACCGGAUAACAUUUUGAACCGCAUGGUUCGAAAUUGAAAGGCGGCUUCGGCUGUCACUUAUGGAUGGCCCCGGGUCGAAUUAGGUAGUUGGUGAGGUAACGGCUCACCAAGGCAACGAUGCGUAGCCGACCUGAGAGGGUGAUCGGCCACACUGGGACUGAGACACGGCCCAGACUCCUACGGGAGGCAGCAGUAGGGAAUCUUCCGCAAUGGACGAAAGUCUGACGGAGCAACGCCGCGUGAGUGAUGAAGGCUUUCGGGUCGUAAAACUCUGUUGUUAGGGAAGAACAAGUGCUAGUUGAAUAAGCUGGCACCUUGACGGUACCUAACCAGAAAGCCACGGCUAACUACGUGCCAGCAGCCGCCGUAA
rnacentral:rRNA from 1 species